rnacentral:lncRNA from 1 species
UUUAUUUUUCUCGGGAAUGCAGGUUGAGAUAAGAUCUACCAGAGAAAAAAAUCUGACACAAUAUGAUUUAUGGGUACUCAAUGCGUCAAGAUGGUCAUUGUCGUCUAAAUUAAAAAAAAAAUAUUUUGAACUGGCAGUUAAUUCUAAUUUAGUUUUCAUUCCGGAUAUCAGCUAAGUGUGGCCCUGCUAUUGCAAGUUUACACAUUACCCACAUUACACUAUGAUAAAAUCCCGAAUUCCCGACUGGCUAUUCCCGAGUUUCCGCGAAUUCCCCAAACCCGAAUUCCUGAAAAAUGUCUUUCCGCCCC